UAAGAUAUAUUUACACGAAACAUUGAAGACACAAGGAUAAACACAAGCAGUUUAUUCACUGUCCACCAUCGAUAGCAAAAAAUCUAACAAACCAAAAAAUAGAUAAACUAAUUCUCACGCCAUUGAAAUUUGCAUUUGGUACAACGAUAAAAGGUACUCAUAGGUUCAUCUGCACUACGAAUUUGAAGUUGGAAGAAGUAAGCACGAUUAUUGUCACAUUUUGUGUUUUCACAAGUGACUUCGGUUUGCUGAUUAGAUUCAAAAGCUUCUUCUCCACCUAAUACAUCGUCAACUUCCUUUUGGGCAAAUUCGUGACGACUGUAGAGAAAAGUAGAAAUUGGAAAAUGAUAAGGACAUGUUCUACAGUCGAACGCAUUCCUUCCUUCCUCGUCAACCGCGACAAUUAAGUGAUUUCCACAAGUAGGACAAAACUGCAUUAUGAAAGCUCAAGUAAUAAUAAAGUGAUGAGCCCUCUUAGUGGUUUACUCCAUAUGUUAUAAUUUUGCAAACUAAAUUGGUUGUUUACAAUGUCAUGACUUUAAAAGUAAAUUAUUAACCGACAACUUCAUAAUCUAC